rnacentral:lncRNA from 10 species
GCCCAGGCGUGGGUCUCCGCCAUGGGCCUGCGCCGCCUCGGGACCGGGGUCAGGGUGCCACGGCUUACCAAUGGAAGAUUAGGCCAGAUGGCUCCUGAGAGUGCUUUGGGAGAUUCUCUGUUCCUUCUGGGAAUGGCAGGGAUAGGAGGGGGUCCCAGAAGUUUGAACGCUUUGGCAUCCAAGAAAUCACACUCCAAAUACUGCUCUUCUGGCCUCCCCUGGGCUGCCUUCUCCAACCGUGUUCCUGGGAACCGAAGGGCAGAAAUUGCCCUCUUGGGCUUAUAAACAAGGAGCUCCUGCCUGCCUGGAUGAAGAGGAGGUCAAGACUUUGUCCCCCACUCCGCAAGAUACCCUCUCUGUUCCGGAGCGGUGGGUCCCUCCCCUGUUAGGACCUUGUCUCCCUCAGGACUGGACCUGGAUCCUGGGCCUGCAGUCAGAUUGCCAGUUUCACUUAGAGGUGGAAAUGUCAACCCACUGGUUGGAAUGGGAAGGUAGGGUGUGGGGUCGGGGAGUACCUUCAUUUCUAUCUGCCCAGGAGGCCAGCCGCUUCCUGCAUAGCAUUUCCUUCCUGCAGUAUGGGAAGGACCAGGCUUUCUCAGACCACAGAAUCUUGAGAGCCAUUUCCACGUGGAGCAAGUGGUGGCUACCAGCCUUGGGUCUACAUAACUAGGGCCUCAUCCCUGGCCCAAGAAUCCUGCUCCACAGCCUUCUUGUGUCCCUGUAGGAGGAGAAACACCUGGCAACUUAAAUUUUUUAAAAUAACUUUUUUUUUUUUUUGAGACGGAGUCUCGCUCUGUCUCCCAGGCUGGAGUGCAGUGGUGCGAUCUCGGCUCACUGCAAGCUCCGCCUCCCAGGUUCAUGCCAUUCUCCUGCCUCAGCCUCCCAAGUAGCUGGGACUACAGGCACCUGCCAUCACGCACGGCUAAUUUUUUUGUAUUUUUUUAGGUGAGACAGGAUUUCACCAUGUUAGCCAGGAUGGUCUUGAUCUCCUGACCUCAUGAUCUGCCCACCUCGGCCUCCCAAAGUGCUGGGCUUACAGGCGUGAGCCACCGUGCCCGGCCAAAAAUAACUUUUAAAAACAUGAGUAUAGCAUACACACACACAAAAGUCCACAAAUCCUAGGUGUACCACUUGAUGAAUGAUCCCAACGUGAGCACACCUCUGGAUUACCACCUGGAUCAAGAAAUAGGACAUCACAGCAGCUGGCAGCUUCCAAGGAGAAGCUCUGGAAAGUUCUGCCUGUCUCAGCACCUGGCUGGAUCGGAAACGAGUUUUCUUUAACCAGAUUUUUAAUGACUGACUUAUGUGGACAAAUCAUAACUGAAUGAAUCACCUCCUUUGUUGAUUUUUUUGGGUACUUUAUUUGCUAUUAUAAAUGAUGCUGUAAUAAGCACCCUUGAAGAAAUCUUCAUAUCUGCCUCUCCUGUGUAGCAGGUCACAGUGCCUGGGUUUGGUUCUAGCCCUCAUUUGUGAACUGUGUGACUCACCAUGCCUUUUUUCUUUCUGUAAGACAGGAAUAAUGGUAAGAAUUUAAAUGGGGGUAAUAUGGAGCGCGUUUAGUUCAGAGCCUGGUGCAUACAAGCACUCAAUAAGUACUGGCGAUUAUUAGACCUUUAGAUUAAUUUAUUAGAAGUUGGAUUUCUGGUGAAAGGGUUUGAGUGUUUUUGAGGCUUUGGCACAGAAUACCCAGCUGGUCCCAGAAAGGUGGUUCCCAUUUACCUGCCCGAAGGUAAUUCACCCUUACUGAUACUGAGUACUGUUUUCUAAAAGAACAUUAAAAAUUGGAUAGGUUAAAAACAGGUGAAUACAUUUUUUUAGUUGCAUUUUUUUGGUUACCCGUGAGAGUGAACAUGUUGCCAUGUGUUUGCUGACCUCCUAAAUGGUCUAUUUGCUCCUACCUUUGUACCCCAAAAGUCUGCUCUCAAGAUGGUAGCCAGAAUGAUCCUUUUUGAGACAUAAGUCAAAAUUUCACUCUUCUCCUUAAAGCUCUGCAAUGGUUCUCAGGUUAAAAGCCAAAGUCCUGUUCAAGGCCUCCAGGGUCCUCACCACUUGGUCCCUUGCUCUUUCUGUUCUAGCCAACUUGGCCUUCUCCUGCCCCUCCGCCGCACCAUGGCAAUUUCCCCUGCUCUGUGUGGUCAACUACCUGAAUCUGUUCAAAGCUUUGCUCAAAUGUCUCCUUCCUGAUGAGACCUCCCCAGCCCCUGAGCUCCCCAUGCCUCACUCCUGAUCGCCUUACUUAACCCUUCUUUUUCUUUUUUGCCAGUAGUACUUAUCACCGUCUAAAAUACUUCAUAAUUUACUUGUUUAUUGUUUGCCCCUCUCCAAUAGAAUGUAAGCUCCUUGGGGCAGGGACCUUUGUCCUUUGUCUUGUUCACUGCUGUGUCCCAUGUGUAAACUUGUCUGGCACAGAAGAGGUGCUCGAUAAAUAUUUGUUGAGUGAAUGAAUGGUAAAUUUUCUGUUCAUAUUCUUUGACUAUUUUCUAUUGUAAUGUUCAUCUUUUUAGUAUUGGUUUAUAAGAUGUAUAUUUAGCACCUUUUCAUAUAUCACUCUUUGUCACAUAUUAUGCAACUAAUUUGUCAUUUCCAUCAAUUUUUAAAAUACUUUCUUGAUGCUUCAUUUUUAAGCUGUCAGAUUAUUAAUCUUUUCUUUAUGGUCUUGGACUUUAUUGUUGCAUAACCGCUGCCUUCACCAGGAACAUAUAAAUUUUCAAUUAAAUGUUCUUCUGAGAUUUUAUGAUUUCACUUUUUAUAUUAAACUCUUCAUUUUGUCUUCAUGUGUGGUGAGAGGUAAGAACAUAACUUUAAAGCAAAUUAACCAACUAUCCCCAAAUGAAUUAUAAAUAAAUUAAUCAUUUUCCAAUGAUCUGAAAGGCCAUUUUAUCAUACACUAAAUAUUUUUGUGUGUUUGACUGGGUUUACCGUUCUGUUCCGUUGGCCUAUCACAUCGUUCUUACAUUGGUAUUUGUUGCCCUAUUUUAAUGAUUGUAACUUUUUAAUAAGGGUUAAUGACUGAGAAUACAAGUCCCAUUGUUUUGUUUUAUUAUUUUUAUUAUUUUUUUGAGACAGGGUUUCACUCUGUCACCCAGGCUGGAGUAUAGUAGCACUAUCUCGGCUCAUUGCAACCUCUGCCUCCCUGGUUCAAGUGAUUCUCCCACCUCAACCUCCCGAGUAGCUGGGACUACAGAUGCAUGCCACCACACCCAGCUAAUUCUUGUAUUUUUAGUAGAGACAGGGUUUCACCAUGUUGACCAGGCUGGUCUUGAACUCCUGGCUUCAAGUGAUUCACCUGCCUCGACCUCCCAAAGUGCUGGGAUUACAGGCGUGACUCACCACGCCUGGCCCAUUUUUUUCUUUUGAGGUGUUCUUUGUGGCAAUUCAUAUAUUCUUUAAGAUAAAUUCUAAACUUUUUUUUUCUGCCGAGAUAAACUAGCAGACAAAUCCCACUGGACAUUGCAAUUGGAUUAGUUUUGUAGAUUAAUUUAGUGAUAAUCAACUUCUUUGCACCAUUGAGUGCUUCUGUCCGGGAACGUGGCAUAUCUUUCUAUUAUUAAGGUCUUUUUUAUUAUAGGUCUUUAGGGAAGCUUUAUUUUAUAGAUGAAUGUAGUGUGUUUGGUGCUUAUUUUCAUAAAAUAAAGCAAUGACAUCUGUGGCAGGCAGCUUCUGAAAUGGCUCCCAAUGAUCCUUACCUUCUGAUAGUCACCCCCUUGGAGAAUCCCUUUCCUUUGUGUGUGGGCUGGAUCUAGUGACUUGCUUCUCAUAAAUAGAAUAUGGCAAAAAAUGAUGGGUUGUUACUUCUGAGAUUAGGUUAUAAGAGGCGAAUUUCUGUUUUGCUGUAAUUUUGUCUCUCUAACCCUCUUGCUUUCCUGUGCUCAUGAAACCAGCUGCUGUGUUGUGAGCCACCUUAUGGAAAACCCAUGUGGCAGAGAACCGAGGGUGGUGGCUGGCCAACAGCAAGCCAGGAGCUGAGGCCCACAGUCCAACAACUGGUGAGGAACCACAUGCUGCCAGCAGCCAUGUGAGGGAACUUAGAAGCAAAUCCUUCCCCAGUUGAGCCUUCAGAUGACACCAGAGCCUUGGCUGACCCCUUACUUUUACCCUUGUAAGAGACUUUGAGCCAGAAGACUUGGCUAAACCACACCUGGAUUCCUGACCCACAGAAACUUGAAAUAAUAAAUGUGUUGUUUUAAGUCACUCGGUUUUGGGGUAAUUUGUUACAUAGCAGAGAUAACUAAUAUAGCCCCCCUUUUUU